rnacentral:rRNA from 1 species
AGUGAACGCUGGCGGUAGGCCUAACACAUGCAAGUCGAACGGCAGCACAGUAAGAGCUUGCUCUUACGGGUGGCGAGUGGCGGACGGGUGAGGAAUACAUCGGAAUCUACUUUUUCGUGGGGGAUAACGUAGGGAAACUUACGCUAAUACCGCAUACGACCUACGGGUGAAAGCAGGGGAUCUUCGGACCUUGCGCGAUUGAAUGAGCCGGUGUCGGAUUAGCUAGUUGGCGGGGUAAAGGCACACCAAGGCGACGAUCCGUAGCUGGUCUGAGAGGAUGAUCAGCCACACUGGAACUGAGACACGGUCCAGACUCCUACGGGAGGCAGCAGUGGGGAAUAUUGGACAAUGGGCGCAAGCCUGAUCCAGCCAUACCGCGUGGGUGAAGAAGGCCUUCGGGUUGUAAAGCCCUUUUGUUGGGAAAGAAAAGCAGCAGGUUAAUACCCCGCUGUUCUGACGGUACCCAAAGAAUAAGCACCGGCUAACUUCGUG